GAGGCAGACGUGCAGUGAGCCAAGAUUGCACCACUGCACUCUAGCCUAGGAGACUCCGUCUCAAAAAAAAAACAAAGAAAAAGCUCUUGGACACAUUUGCACAUAGACAUACACACAGCACCAAUUUACAUCUGCCAAAUUAAUACUGCUUUAUAAUAUCCUCUAGUAGUUUGUAAGAUUUUUGUUCUAGGCUUUCUCUCUCCCCAUGUGUUCUAUAAUAAAUUGAAGCUGCAAAUUAAGCCGAUCCCUCCAGAAUAUCCAGUUUCCAGUUAGCCUGUUUAUGCCCUUUUGACUGUGCCUCUGGGGGCACUAGCAGAGUCUGCACUCUUACAGAGAGAACACCUUAGAGCCUGGAUAGCCUUGUUCCAGAAGCGACUUUUCCAAUGGAGCAAAUGUCCAUGAGGCUCUGGAUAAAGGAACUGAGAUGUCAGUGUAAAUGGCUGCUGUGGGCUGGGCCCCAAGCUCCCCAGGGUGAAGGGGCCAGCACAGUCCAUUGAAAUGAAUUCCCAAGGCCAGCCCUUGGGUAUAGUGGGGGGAAACCCUGUGGCUUUCCUCUUCCUUUCUCUUUAUCAGCUCAGGCGCCCCAUUGAAGUGGGAAAGGAGAGAGGGAGAAGUUAGAAAACUCCAUGAGAAGAGCCACCGCACCCGGCCGGAAACAUCUCAUUCUUUU
rnacentral:lncRNA from 1 species